rnacentral:lncRNA from 1 species
CCCUUCAGUGUGCCUAAUGGCGGCGAGGCGGCGGGAGAUUAAGGAAGAAGAUAGAAAAAAUAUAUGUGUGUGGUGAUGAUGUCAUGGCAAUCUCCAGCGUGACUCGACUUGACUUCACCGCCUGCUGCAGUGGUGGUGAAAAAAUGCCCGGCUGGAGCUGGCUGAAACCGGGCCAAAUUGUUUACUGUAGCAUUUGGUCCCCUUCAACCAGCUGUAGUCUGCAUUGUGCGCUGCUCCGGCCCUCCCUGUCCCCCUGCCUCGCCCGCUCUGCCCCAUCCACACACCCAGGAGCAAUCAAGCCGCCGCAAAACUACUCCAGAGGUCAAAUGGUGUGACCUCGCCUCCUUGCUUCACGCCCUACCUGAAGGUCACAGCGCCAUCACAUCGACAGAGCGUGAAGUUUUUAAGAAUGAGUCACAGCGCUGCAAGACACGCCCCAUUCAAGCUCAAAGCCAUUAAAGGGUCACACCACCUUCAUCUACAACCUGCCAAGCCACCACGAAUGUAAAAAUAAGCCACUCAACGUCGUUCUCAUUAAGCCAGAAAGGACCAAGCCACGUCAUUAAUCCACACAAGCCAUAUAAAGACUUCACACACGUUUCUACUUGCCAAGCCACCGUAUCUACCAAGUAAUCAAGCCACAAGACCGUUACUACACAAGCCUAAGCCACCACGUACAUAACACAAGACUGAGUUACGAAAAUAUCUAGACUCAGGCAAACCAAGCCACGUAACAAAGCCACCAUCUCAAUCCAGUACAAAGCCACCAGCACGUUCCGGCAGCAGACCAAUCGUGAAGAAGAUGCACCCUCUUGAAAACCCAGUCAAGAGGAGAGUAAGAGGUCCCAGCACGCCGCGUCGCCUCCCGAACACUCUCAAAAGGAUCGACGCUGCGCAAGAUAAUAAUGUUCACAAUGCGGAAGGAAGAAAGAAAAGCUAAUAAAAGAAAGAAAGUUACGUGGGCGAGAGAAUACAACGUCAAGGGAGGUACACACACACACACACACACACACACACACACACACACACACACACACACACACACACACACACACACACACACUGAGCAAGUUCUGUCUAAAUAAUUAAUGAAAGCAAUUUGCCACUUUAAAUAAUGUCAGUUUGUAAAGAUUUUUUUUAUGUAUAUUUUUUGUAAGAUUAAACAGAUUGUUUUCCUAAAUAACAUGCUCUUUCUUUUUUUUUUUUAUUUCACUCGUACCCUGUUACAUUUUGAUAACUAAGGUUGUAUAAAAAAAUAAAUAUAAGUAUUACUACUUCAUUUCUUUUUGUAAUUAGUCACACUGUGUACUAUUAUAAAUAAAGCAAAGCUGUAUUAUAUAAAAAAGAUAACUGAUGUGGGGCCAUAAAGUUUACGAUAUUAAAAGGGAUAUUUUUUUGUCGCAUUCUUUAUUUUACGAAAUAAAAACUAGCACUUUAAAUUUACUGCCACGAUUGGAUGUACAACUUUAUCUUUAUUAAUCUGAGGACUUUAAAUACCAGCCAUGCAUUGCUAUUCAUGUGAACGGUGGUCAUGUUAUUCAUCUACAAUCUCAAAUUCUGAUCUUAAUUCCAUGUACAACUUUUUAAAACACUGAUCUAAUACCUCUCUUUUAAUCACCUCUAUUACUAUUCAAAGUAGAAAAGGUAAUCAAUAUCUCCUUUAAACUCCUUACCCUGUCCUGGAGACCUUGCCUCAAUAAAUCAAUACUUCUGUACCACUAAAUAAACGAAUCGCAACUUUA